CCAGUGGAUUUAAUUCAAUAUAAUGGAGGGGUGAUUUGGAACAGUGUAUGACCUGCUCACCGAGCUACAAACAUGUUACACAUGGAUUAAAUGAUCAGGUACUGUCCAUAUGUGUAUGUUGUGUUAUAAGUACACAUAUAGUGGCUGAUCCCAAACAAUAUCCAUGUACUUUUUGGUUUUGGAAUCAGGCAGCUUUGAAAUAUAUGCUAAUUCACCAUUGCUCAUUUACAGUAGGUGGAUGAGGAACUGAAGAGGAACCAGGGCUCCAUUUGUCUUCCUGCUGCACCUGAACAUCAUUCAUGCUCUUUGCACAAAUAAAUACACUCAACUCACUAUCAAUAUAUUUAAGCCACUGAAUGGGAACUGAAUCUGCCAAAGGAACCAAAGAAGAAGCUGCAGAGGAGUACCGAGAAGUUUCCACAGCACACUAAUGGAGUUGGAAGGAGCCCACUGGAUGUCCACAAUUAUGACUUCCAUUCCAUUCUUGGGCAAGGAGGAUUCGGCAAAGUUAUGUUGGCUACAUUUGCCAACCAGCACGUGGCCAUGAAGGUGAUCAAGAAGAGUCCGAAAUGCAAUUACAGCAGC